GUGUAUCGAGAUUGCUGGGUGUCGUUAGUCUAGGCACGGUACAUUCAUCUUAAUCUACAUGUACUUUUGAGAGACAUUAACAGUGUUUAAUGGUUAAGUGUUUUACACUCAUAGCCACUGGUGAACCAGCUGGGGUUUCUUCUAUAGAAAUGUUCAAGGGCCACAAGGCGUAUUUGCAUGAUUUGACAGUCAAGUAUCUCUAAAGCCAAGCUACAUAACAGCGAUAUUAAUUAUUCAUCAUUAGGUUCGUGCUCCAGUAGUACCAUUUUGACACCAAGUUUGAACGAUGCAGCCAAAACAAGUGGUGGCAAUGGGGCUGAUCUCUGGAAUAAUCUUGUUUACGUUCAUCUCAAUGGGCGGUGAAGCUUCCCUCUCCAGCCGACUUGGUUAUAAAAGACCUGCGUUCCAAGAGGAGUCGUUAACAGAGGUUGAGUAUAAUGAAUGCGAAGAUAAAGGACAAUACAGAGCAGUGAAAGGGUUUUGCUGCCACCUCUGUUCUGCAGGAGACAUGUGGCUUGAUGACUGCUUUUCCGAUGGCGACCAAUCUUUCUGCACAUCUUGCAUGCCAGGGAAGAGCUACAUGGACAUUGCAAACCGUGAUCCUCAAUGCAAAAAGUGCAGCACCUGCAAUAUUCUCUAUGAAGAUGUUCAACAGGACUGUACUGUCACGAGUGACACUGUGUGUCAGUGUAAGGAUGGAUACAGUCGGCCUCAUCCUUCACAGCCUUGUGGAGUUACAUCAAACACAGAAAAAAACAUUACAAUUCCUGCUGUAAUUGGGACCUUCAUUAUUUUGGUGGUGGUGGUGGUCUUAUUGAUUUAUCGGAAGAAGAAAUGCUUAUACCCCUUUGAUUAUUCUGGCAAAGUGACGGAGACUGUGCCUCUUCUUAGUGUGAAAGUGCCCAAGGAUGUCCUUGAGGUAAAUCAAGCAGCAUCUGCUGGGGGCUGGCUGCCAUGACAUUGUAUCACAGGAACUUGUGUACUCUUGUGGAGCUUGCCACUGUUUAAAUGUGGCGUGUAGACUCUCCCAGAACUAUCUUACACCUACUUUUGGUGUGGCGUUGUGGUUUGUGGUGGUGAUUUGGUAGGGUCUUAGAGGGUUAGCCGAAGUAUUUCCCAUCAUGUUUUUCAAGACUUCCCUGGGACUCUGCUGGUGCUGGGACUCUGUUGUCUGAAUGUUGCCCGAUUGUACUUGCUGUGGUCACUGUUUGUCAUGUUCCUCGGCCAUGGAUCUUUUGUAUAAUUUUGAUCUCUUUUUCUUACUGUCUUUUGCUCUAUUUUCACUGUUUUGCAUUUCACUGCAUUUUUAAGUUGCUUUAAGAUGCUGUGGUAUUGAAGCUAUGAAUACAGAUCCUUAUCCAAUACGAAUGUAUUGCCAAUCGCAAUAUAUUUUCUGUCUUAAAAACUACAUUUACUCAUACAACACAACCUCCCAUGUCACACAUUCAAUCGCAGCUAUAGCUGGAAUGAUGAAUCAAUUAAAUUGAUCCAUUAACUAUAAUUUUUUAUUGACUACGUUGUUGUGGUCAAUUACUCUGGCCAUUUAAAACUGGCAACUGCCCCACUUAAUGCCUCCCAAAGAUGGGAACCCAGUAUACAUUCAAUGUUGAGCCAACGUUGACAUGUGGAUGGACCGUUGGACCAAUGUUCCACGCUUACUGUAAAUUUCCAUACAAGCUCCACUCUGUGACGUGGCUGAUGAUGCAAUGUACAUCACCAAGCUCCUACGUCACUCCCCACCCAACAGCAAAUAUGGGACCAGAGGUGAGAUGUGUUUCCAACUUUUAUUUGCAUAAGCCAAUUCAUCACAUAAUCAAUCCAAUAACUGGCAGAGUACUCCGAAACAAAUAUAAUAUAUUCCACAAAAUAACUGGAUAUCUUAGCUCUAAUCAGAAUCACUAUAAGCAUGCAUCUUGCUGUAGAUACAUACAUUCAUACAGUAUUGGCACUGGAGAACUGAAAACUAUCAAAGGAAGAUGUAUAGUAAGCAGUGAAACUGUAAAAUGAUAUCUUUUGAAAGUCAGUUAUCACCUUUAUAACAAUUGUGGGAUCCUGGACAAAUAAAGCUCAAUGCAUUGGGUAGUCCUAAACCAUUAGAGGAAAUUCCAGAUUCCAAUGGCAGGGUCAUUUAUCCUUUUAGAGAGAUGUAAGUGUGUCAAUAAUUCGCACACAAUAUGUAACACUCUAUUUUAGCAACUCUGGAGGAAUGAUGUCAAAUAAUGCAAGAGUAAAAUCUACAACCAUAGAAAUACCAUUAAACAAUUCCCAUUGUGGCUUCUUUCCCGUGUGGACAGGAACCACGAAUGCAAAUCGAGAAGAGAAUGAGGUCCAAUAAUGCUGAAGUUUGGCAGCAGUUCCAUGACUUGCUGCCAGAAGUGUAUAAAUCCAUCUCUGAAAACACGUUCUAUUUCAUGUACGAGAUGGAUAAAAAAUACAACAUUCACGUAAGCGUGUACUGGAAGGUUUAUGAAAUUACUGACAUCUCAGCACGUGCAAUCUUUAUACUGAAAUACUUUAUUCGUGAGGGUGAGGAGAAGUGCCAGGGGCUCCUGGAGAUGAUCCGUGCAGGACAGAACAAGCAAACGCAGCUGCAGACCCUGCUUGACUCUGCCGUAAAAUGCUCUCCAACUCUUAAUCCAAACACUGCACAUGAAGAACUUAACAUCUCAGAUGAUGGGAAGACAGCGGAAUGGCUCAAGAGCCCUCCAAAAAAACCCGAUCACCCAGAUCGGUUCAAAUACUGGUCACAGGUGCUGUCCUUUGGGAGUUUCUCUGAAGGAUGCCACUUCUGGGUGGUGAAUGUGGGGGACGCAGACAACCUUCGUGUUGGUGUCUCUUACCAGAGUAUUCUACGUAAAGAAAAAGACAGUGCAUGCCUGAUGGGAUUUAACAGCAGGUCCUGGUGUUUAUGGAAACACGAGAACAAAUACAAGGCCUGGCACGACCAGCAUAGCACGGAGAUGGAAGUGGGUGAACAUCCUCGCAGAAUCGGUGUUGGCUUGGACUAUGAUAAACGGGUUCUGUUAUUUUACAAUGCUGACAACAAUGAGCAUCUACACACAUUUUAUGCCCACUUCUCUGAACCCCUGCAUGUUGCCCUAUGGGUGUGGUCUGGGGUCCUCACUAUUGAGCCUGUUAACAACGAUUAAAUUGGAUAUAGGUUUCAUAAUUUAUCCGUGGAGAAUAAACAGGAUCAAAUUGCCAUGCAGCUCCUCUUAGUUAUUUAACAUGGAUAUCACAGGUAAUAUUGUUUUCUCUAUCACAUGCACUGAUAACCUUUAUCUAAAGAAUUAAAGGUAAGAAAAGAUAUUCUUAGUUUUUUCGGUAAAGUCACGUUGUUGUUUCUCUUCAACGUGACUUUACCGAAAAAACUAAGAAUAUGAAUUACUGCAGUCACGAAAGCUUUAAAUCAAAAUGUAAGAAAAGAUGUUACAUGAAAUAUACUUCUCCAAACGUAGUCAUUCCGUCUUCAGAUGUUUCAACAUUCAAAUAUUUUUUUCCAAUUAUCUGAUUAUCAAAGACACCCAUGUAACCAUAAUGGACAAGCUGAGCCUUGCCAGCCAGUUAAAUUUGCAUUAUAGGAAGGGGUACUAUUUGCAAUUUCCGAAUGGCACGAUGUUCUCUUGCUUUGGACUGUAAUUGGUCUGCAGCACAGUCCAUGGCUUUUCACAUAUAUGUGGAUUUCACAGAUAAUAUAAAAGUUUUCACCCAUCUGCUGGUCCACCCACCCUCUUAUAAUCGGCAAAAUUGCAGUUAAUAGAAACUGCCAAUUUGAAGGCACGAAUGACAAAUAUGUCUAACUGCAUAGAUAAGACGGUUACAAAUAACAAUAGUUGUACUGUAUUUCCACAUUGUGCAAAUCAGUUGCACUGCACACCCACACAUCAGUGCCACGGUGCCACUCUACACAACAUCGUUUCUGGGCCGAUUAACUUACUGUGGAUCCCUUUCUCAUAUGCUGCGACAAGGUACAAUUUCCACAUUUUCCGUUGCAGAUGAACUCAGCAUAAUUUUCUACAUUGUGUCGUGUACGUUUACACUGCAUGCAUACUUGAUUGGUGCAAAGUUAUAUUCAUUUGUCUGAGCCUUUGGUCUUGAAAGCAGCCCUGAAAAUUGCUGGCUCGUUGCUCAACUGUUAAGCAUCCAUUCUCGAUCAGCAAUUGUUAUUGUAUAUAAAAUAUCUUACUUUUAUGUGGGAAUUAAGCAAUAUGUGUUACCAGUUUGUGAUUAUUAUUCAUAUAUUUGAAACACGAUAUAUGGGAAAGUAACCCCCAGAAAUAAUAUCUCAGUCUCUGAAACCUGACAUCAGGCAAAUAACGUGAUACAGCCUUUGACCAUGAAUUAGUAUCAGUGACAGCAAGCACUAUGACCACUUGCUGACCCUGUCAGUUCCAUGGAUGGCUGGAGUGAAGUUUCCUUCACUACUGUAUAGCUGUUUAUUUUGUGAAUUAGUAUUAGAUAUGUAAUUAUAAAUGUAACGGGUCCAACCCAUUGUGCUGUACGAAUGAAUUGUGGUACAAGGGCCCGCUGAGUAAGGGAUGAACAGAGAGAACGCGAUAGAGGGCGCAUUGGCGUCGGCAGAAGUGGACUCGGGUGCAUAAUCUUUACGAGAGUUACAAAUGUUUUCCAUUACGGUUAGAAGCAUAGAGCUAAUAAUUUUGUUGUAUCCACCUUUCAGGGGUGGAUAAAAAUGUAAUGAUUCUUUCAACGUGAAUUACUUAAUGAAGAUAACAUUUUAAGUUGUAAAUAUAGAAACCGCUGCAACAGUGUUAUUUGUGCCUCGGAGAAGUCUCAGGGCGGCUGUUAUUGCGAUUAGCUUCGCAUUUUAGCCACGCCGUUUGAAACCCAUUCAAGGCGGUGAAAAAGGCGCCCAUGGUUGUAAUUACUAUGUCACAACGUUAGGGUGCACUAUGCAAAUAGCAGGUCACGGCUUUUGGCAGUGUCAAAGGGGUUGUGCAGUGUGGACUUCAGGGUCAUGGGGACAACAUUUGAGUGCUUUGUUGUUUUGUUUCGUAUUGCUAAUAAAUGCCUAUCGUUGGUAGGCAUUUAUUAGCAAUACUUUCAUGGGAAGGCCAAUAACAUGAUGAGGAUUUUCUUAAUUAGAACACCAGCUUUUCAGAGGUCACUCACAGCAGCCCCACCUAAUGGAAAUGUCACGACCCGCCACUGCUAUAAAUCAUCCACAGCACACACAUCUAGAGAGCUCUAUCCUCGAUAAUAUAUUUACGACUACACGACUAUCAAAUCAAUUUACAAUGUAAGUUAAUAGAAAAUACCUGAACGUAAUAUUGAGGGUUAAAUAUAUCAUAAUUCUGCAAGAUUCUGUAUACGCAAAUUGAUUGAUUGAUGGUUGCCAUAAAUAAACACUGGCUCAUGAAUCUGCGUUUCUGUGUCAUAUUCUCAUGUUAGCACUACCACUGCUAUAAACUCGUUCAUACUGCAGUGUCUCACUGUAGCUAUCACCCUGGCUAAGUGAUUCCCGUUUUCCGCACUUUCUUGCAAUACCUUGAUAUGGGAUUAUAUUUCUGAUGUCAUUCAUAUCUGCAAUAGUGGUUAACGGACUUCGCGUGCCUUGAUGCUUCCGAUUUAACGCAUAUUUCCUGCCAGUGUUACGUGAAUGGUGCAUGACUUAAAUGUUGCUUGCCUUGAAUGUGUUUGCUACUCCGUGUGUGCAAUGUUCAUCUGCUGUAUUUAUUUUUUUAUUCCACCAAGAUCCUCCACGCAUCAUGUAAAACAACUUAUGGCCAAAUGUUUCUUACUCAUGUCAACAAAUAAAAUCGAUAAAAUGAAAUCAUCACCAAUUUUU